rnacentral:rRNA from 1 species
UACGGAGGGUGCGAGCGUUGUCCGGAAUCACUGGGCGUAAAGGGCGCGUAGGCGGCCUGAUAAGUAGGGGGUGAAAUCCUGCGGCUUAACCGCAGGGCUGCCUUCUAGACUGUCAGGCUAGAGCACAGUAGAGGCAGGUGGAAUUCCCGGUGUAGCGGUGGAAUGCGUAGAGAUGUGGAGGAACACCAAUGGCGAAGGCAGCCUUCUGGGCCGAACACUGACGCUCAUGCACGAAAGCGUGGGGAGCAAACAGG